rnacentral:rRNA from 1 species
GGGGGGGGCGAGCGUUUAUUCGGAAUUAUUGGGCGUAAAGGGCGUGUAGGCGGCCUCGUGUGUCCCAUGUGAAAGCCCUCGGCUCAACCGGGGAACUGCACGGGAAACUGCGGGGCUUGAGUCCGGGAGAGGAGAGCGGAAUUCCCAGUGUAGCGGUGAAAUGCGUAGAUAUUGGGAGGAACACCAGUGGCGAAGGCGGCUCUCUGGACCGGUACUGACGCUGAGACGCGAAAGCCAGGGGAGCAAACGGGAUUAGAUACCCCGGGUAGUCCUGGCUGUAAACGAUGAGCACUUGGUGUGGUGGGUAUCGACCCCCCUGCCCGUGCCGAAGCUAACGCAUUAAGUGCUCCGCCUGGGGAGUACGGCCGCAAGGCUA